UACGUAGGAGACGAGCGUUGUCCGGAAUUACUGGGCGUAAAGCGCGUGUAGGCGGAUGGGCAAGUCUGCUGUGAAAGCUCCUGGCUUAACCGGGAGUGGUCGGUGGAAACUGCCCGUCUGGAGGACGGUAGAGGUAGGUAGAAUUCCUGGUGUAGCGGUGGAAUGCGCAGAUAUCAGGAGGAACACCAAUAGCGAAGGCAGCUCGCUGGGGACGUUACUGACACUGAGGCGCGAAAGCGUGGGGGAGCGAACAGG
rnacentral:rRNA from 1 species